rnacentral:lncRNA from 1 species
UUACUUUGUCAUUACUUUGGUAGAAAGAAUAUGUUCACAUUUCUGUUUUUCAGGCUGUGUCAAUAAUGGGAAAUGAAGUUUUUCAUUUUAACUUGGAUUUGUACCCAGAUGUGACUGAAGGGGAUUCAUACACUGACAUGUCCAAAGUGGAUGGCGUGGUGUUGCUGAAUGUUGGCUGCAUUCAGAUUGUCUAUCUUCAUAAGUUCCUUGUGUCCCUUUUGCACUUCCUGAACAAUUUCCAGACAGCCAAAGAGGCCCUGAGCGCAGCCACCGCGCAGGCUGCAGAAAAGGCCGCCACCAGUGUGAAAGACCUUGCCCAGCGGAGUUUGCGCUUCUCUGUCAGCAUUAAUUUGAAAGCACUCGUUAUUGUCAUCCCACAGUCUUCUGUUUCCAGCAACGCUGUUGUGGUGGACCUUGGUUUGAUCAGAGUUCAGAACCAGUUCAGUCUUGGGUCUGGGGAAGGGUCUGUAAAUCCUCCUGUGAUCGAUAGAAUGGAUGUGCAGCUCACGGACCUGAAGCUGUCCAGGACAGUGAUCCAACCAGGCACCUCCCAGCCUGAUAUUCAGCUGUUGCACCCAAUUAACUUUGAGUUUUUUGUAAAUCGAAAUCUUGCUGCAAAUUGGUAUCAUAAGAUACCUGUUGUGGAAAUUAAAGGACAUUUUGAUACAAUGAAUGUUUGUCUAAAUCAAGAAGAUCUUAAUGUUUUGUUUAGAAUACUGUCGGAAAAUCUUGGUGAAACUCCUGAAGAGUUAGAUAAAGUGAAACCAAGAGUACCAGAGACAGGUGAAAUCAAAGAUGCCCCUGAAAUUUCUACAUCACAGAGAUUACAAGCUUCAAAAGAUGCUUCAAGAGCUGAAAGAGAAGAAAUUAGAUCUGUAAACAUUGUUAAUGUACUGCUGAAUUUUGAAAUUAAAGAGGUUAUGGUGAUGCUGAUGAAAAAGGCGGAAAAGAGUGGGAGGCCAGUGCACGAGCUCAGUGUCCUGCAGCUUGGAGUGGAAGCUAGAGUUCAAGCUUAUGCCGUGACCGCUGAAGCUUAUCUCCAGCAAGUCAGCAUGCGGUGCCUGGAUUUCACUGACGCAGAAGGAGGCCCUCUGCACAUCGUGCGCUCCUCUCGCGUGACUAAGGAGCCGCUCCUGAAGAUGGCCUUGACCAAGGCAGACAGUGAUGGACCGGAAUUUAAAACUGUUCAUGACAAUACCAAACAGAGACUAAAGGUUUCAUUUUCAUCCUUAGACAUAUUACUUCAUUUAGAAGCUUUACUUUCCCUUAUGGAUUUUUUGUCAUCGGCUGCUCCAUCCUCUGAGUCGUCUUCUAGGAAGGAAUCUGAGCUAAAACCACUUGUAGGGGAGUCCAGAAGUAUUGCCAUCAAAGCUGUAUCUGGCACCAUUUCUAAAGAGGAUAUGUUCGAUUUAAAGGUUACAGCUGAAUUAGAUGCUAUUAAUGUUGUUGUCUGUGAUCAGAAGUGUUCUACAGCUGAUGUUAAAAUACAUGGAAUGGAUGCCUCUGUUUCUGUGAAGCCAAAACAGACUGAUAUGUUUGCCAGACUUCAGAAUAUCAUAGUAACAAAUGUUGAUUUGAAGUCCAUUCACAAAAAGGUAAAAAUUGAUUUCUCAACUGAAAUGUCUUCUGUGUUUUGUAUUUGAGAUGCUUUUUUGUUGUUGUCCAAUGCAUUUACUAGUCUGUCACAUGAGGCCUUCUCUAAGGGUGGGGAUAUAGAUGGUGACCACCUGCUUUCCUGUCAUGUGCACACUAGGCCUUCUGGUUACUUCUGAAAGUGCAAUGAUGGACUGAUACUGCCUGUAGUAAAGGGUUUUUUAUAACGAUACGAAAAAAGUUAUUGUCAAAUAAGUUGGGUUAACUAAUAAUGUUUAAGGCUGAAUCGGGGGUCACUUUCUCUAAUGAGGAACUUUGUGAUACAGAGAAGGGCCUGCAACUCUCCGGUGCCAAAGCCAAUGAUCUCAUCCUUUCAGGCUGUCUCCAUCUUGGGAGAGGAAGUCUUCCGGUUCCAGAUGACGUUAGCUUUGGAAAAUUUUGCCUUAUCUGAGCUGUAAGGCAAGACAAACACAGAAGCAGUUGUCCUGAGUCCUGGCUUCUUCACAGCCGUCCAGCUAUGGUCAAGCCCUGAAGGCACCUGGGUACUCAGGGGUCUGAAACAGAGUUCAAGCGAAGAAUUAAUUGAACUGCAUAUUCUACACCCAAAACUAAACGCCUUGGAGAUGACUCCACACAGGAUAUCCAGCCUCAUCCAGAAAAAUUGCACACCUAAAAGGAUCCUUUGGAAACACUUCAUAAAGCUAUCUGCCUUGAAUUUACUGAUCUAAAACAGCCUUGAUUGGCUGGGCGUGAAUUUCUUUUUUAAAAAAAUAAGUGUAUUUCUGGUCCCUCCCGCCAGUACUUUGGGAGGUUGAGGCUGGCUGAGCAAUCUCCGAAUAAUAAAUAAUAAAAUAAGGAGAAGGAGAACAAGGAAGACAAAAAAGGCCAAGGAUGUAGCUCAGUGCAAAGGUCCUGGCUCAAUUCCCAGCACCAGAAAAAAAAUUUUGAGGCAGUUUCAUAGCUACCUACAAGUUGCCAAGCGCAGAGCCCAGCUCCCGGGCCUGGCUUCCCUGGUCUUACAUCCCCUUCCCUCUGCCAAACAAAAUACUUUGUGCAGUCGCGAGCUCCCGGGGCGCGCUCCCGCGCGGUCCGUCCUAACCCAUCGCCCCAACUCCAGCCUCCUCUUGCUACUCCUGAUCUUUCAAACAGGACGGGAAGCCCGGCGCCGCCCCCGGCGAUGCCGGCGGCGUCCUCGGCCCCGGACCGGCCGAGCGUGGCGGAC